rnacentral:lncRNA from 1 species
CGCUGCGCCCGAAGCCCCGCGGAGCUGCUGAAAACCACUAGCUAUCAAAUGAACCCUCAGUUCCGCCUCAGUAACUUUAAGUUCAAGUUUAUCACUGAAGCGUCACUCAUGUGAGAAGAAGAUACAAGCCUCGGAGGGCGGUGGGGCCCAGCUUCAAUUACCAUAAAGGGUAACGGGAGGCCCUGGCUGCGGGGAGGGGAGCCGGAGUGAGCGCCUUCGUGGAAACAGACCCUGUCAAGAUGAAAUAGGAAAGAUCUGGGUGUCACGGGGAUGAUUUGUUUCUUGUUUCUCCCCUUUGUCUAUGGGCUGAUGGUUUGAAUAAUGAAGACGGUAUUGGUUUUCUUCUCGAGCACGCCAGCACAGGAGGUCUGCUUUUCUGAUGGCACAGCUGACAUAUUAAGAGGGAUUAAAGUUUCUGUACACGGGCAAUGUUUAAAUUAGCUUCCUUAAGCCCCAAAGAGAUCGUUCCAGCUGAUCGGCAAAAUGAACCCCAGCACGGCCGGCAGCCACCCUGCGCAGGUUGCCUAAACAGAGCCGCGGUGUCCUGUUUGGUCAGCUGUUUUGCAAAAUCAGAAGAAAAGGAAAGGCACUAAUCCCCGCCGAGCCGGAAAUCUUUCCAGGCUGGGGCCAGAAAGGUGAGUGGAGAGGUACAGCACAGAUGCCUCACGCAGAGCCACCUGUACCUGGGAGUUCUUGCAUGGCCAGGAAGACGGUUACUGGCCCAGCGUUGAUGCCAACACUGUGCCCCAUAACUCCUGUUAUUCUUGUCCUGGGGAGCAGGCGUAAGAAUGAAAAUGAGUUCGGGCCAACAGUUUAUUAGAAUCCAGUGACAUCCUAAGCAGAAGACCCGGUUAAGCUGUGCCUGGACUCCUGACUCAUGGAACCUGUGAGAUAAAACCUGUGUUGUUUCCCCUCUCCACCCUUCUCUGGUGAGAGGGCACCUGCGUGGGUGAGGCCCACAGGAUCCUGGCCCCUGUGGCUUCUAGUUGGGUCUGGACAAUGCAGAGCACCAGAGAGAUGGAGCCUCGAAGUGGGCUGACUACGUCCCUCCGCUGAAGGCCACUGUACCUCUCGAGGAGGCCAAUUCUACAAGACCUUCUUCUGCUGGC